rnacentral:rRNA from 1 species
CAAGUCGAACGGUAACAGUCUUCGGAUGCUGACGAGUGGCGAACGGGUGAGUAAUACAUCGGAACGUGCCUAGUAGUGGGGGAUAACUACUCGAAAGAGUAGCUAAUACCGCAUGAGAUCUACGGAUGAAAGCAGGGGACCUUCGGGCCUUGUGCUACUAGAGCGGCUGAUGGCAGAUUAGGUAGUUGGUGGGGUAAAAGCUUACCAAGCCUGCGAUCUGUAGCUGGUCUGAGAGGACGACCAGCCACACUGGGACUGAGACACGGCCCAGACUCCUACGGGAGGCAGCAGUGGGGAAUUUUGGACAAUGGGCGAAAGCCUGAUCCAGCAAUGCCGCGUGCAGGAUGAAGGCCCUCGGGUUGUAAACUGCUUUUGUACGGAACGAAAAGCCUGGGGCUAAUAUCCCCGGGUCAUGACGGUACCGUAAGAAUAAGCACCGGCUAACUACGUGCCAGCAGCCGCGGUAAUACGUAGGGUGCAAGCGUUAAUCGGAAUUACUGGGCGUAAAGCGUGCGCAGGCGGUUUUGUAAGACAGUGGUGAAAUCCCCGGGCUCAACCUGGGAACUGCCAUUGUGACUGCAAGGCUAGAAUGCGGCAGAGGGGGAUGGAAUUCCGCGUGUAGCAGUGAAAUGCGUAGAUAUGCGGAGGAACACCGAUGGCGAAG